AAUGAACGCUGGCGGCAUGCCUAACACAUGCAAGUCGAACGACCACACGAGCAGCUUUCUCCCCUACCGUUAGCGACGGGCGGGUGAGUAACACGUACAUAACCUUCCUAUUUGUCUUGGGUGACUUCGGCCGACCGAAUACACUACCCGCUCAUAUAUUGAACCGCAUGGAUCAAUAGUCCUUGACGCUUUUGCUGUCCCUUUUAGACGUUUCCGCGCUGCAUUAGCUAGUUGGUAAGGUAACGGCCUACCAAGGCGACGAUGCGUAGCUGACCUGAGAGGGUGAUCAGCCACACUGGAACUGAGACACGGUCCAGACUCCUACGGGAGGCAGCAGUAGGGAAUCUUGCGCAAUGGGCGAAAGCCUGAUGGAGCAAUGCCGCGUGGGUGAUGAAGGUCUUCGGAUUGUAAAACACUUUUAUUAGGAAAGAAAAAAAGUGUAAGAAUAUCUGGAUGUCUUGACGGUACCUAAUGAGAAAGCACCGGCUAACUACGUG
rnacentral:rRNA from 1 species